AACAAAUUUACCUUUGUGUAAAACACAACUAAAUUUUAGUGCUCUAAAUUUUUGUUUUGUUAUUCAAAAUUUGUGUGAUGUGUUUUUAAUUGUCGUUGUGCAUCCGUGGCUGUGUCGGUUGGCUCUGCAGUGAUCGGCAAAGGGUGUGCGGUACGGCUAUUAGAGGAGGAGCCACUGCCAGCAUGAUUCAAGCUCGUCUCUCUGGACCUUUGCUCCUCUACGAUCAGAUUCUGGCCGUCCCAUGCCAUUGAAUUCGUGUCGGAGCGUCGAAAAAGGCACUGCAAUUGGUCUUGUGAAGCACCACGGCGUAAGUCUGGCUACGACAAAACGAGACUGAGGCAACGGACAACGGCAUCAUGGGCCACAACCUAAAAUGUUAGUGUAAAGCUUUUUUUGGAAGAACUUGAACAAAGGCACAAUGCCACAUUUUGAGAACUAAUUUGCUUUUUUUGGCCGCAGACUUCUGGCGCCGACGAUUUGCACAGGACGACUUCUUUCGCUUGCUGCUGCUCUUGCCAGAGGAUCCCUUGCGCUUGCUUGUCCUCUUUGAGCAGCUGCGCUUUCUUCGUUUUUUGCCACAGGCAUCCCCAUCGUCCUCGAUGGAAUCUACCACGCAGCGUGCAGGUACAAUCUCAGUCUGUGGGGACUAAAAGGGCGCUGCUGCAUGACUUAGAUGCACAAAGAACUCACCACCUCACGGUAAAUGUCUGGAAUGCCCUCACGUACUUAAGGAUUGAUUUUCGUACAAUAAACAC